AACGCCUGGGUCCUCUCUAGUGCAGGGGCCGAAGCUGAGGGUCUCCCUCGGCAGCGACUCGGAGGAUGACGAUGAGCUGCCCUGGGGGGGACACACAACACGCUGUUAUUGUAGGACCUACAGAAACACAACAGGGUGAUGGUUACGGUAGGACCUAUGGAACCACCGGCCUUGUGUUAUUGCCCUGCCCUCGGAGAUGCUGCCUCGCUCCGAGUCGUCCCGGAGAGCAGCCCAGAGGAGCCAGAUGUGUGCCCAGAUGUUCACCCCACCCGAAAACGCCGCCACCCUCCCGCCCCAGGUCACCGCCCGGAUGUGGCCGCGCUCUGCCUGGAUCCAGAUGUCAGAGGACCCAAAAAGCGCCGGAUUGGGCCCCGAACCACCCCGGAUUCAGAUGGGGGGGGGAGAAAAAUAGCUCUUCCAAAUGUUCACCCCCCAAAUCACUCUCUGAACCCCCAAAAGGUUGUGCAUCCAGAUGUGAAACAUCUGGCAGGCAGCAACCAGACCCUCGACGUUGAGAGUGAUGCAGAUGUCAAGGUGCCCCCCAAAACUGCUCUUUUUCACCCAAACCGUCACCGGACUGCCCUGGAGGUGUGCGAUAACCCAGAUGUGGAGGAAAGGGGCCCAAAUCCAGAUGUUGGAGGUACCAAAAAUCGAUGUCGGAUGAUUGUGGUGGACAGCGACACAGAUGUGGAGGAGGUUGAGGUCCUUCCAGACACUGUGUGCCCAAAAAUAUGUAGAAAGGACCCAUACGUGGCCCAAAAAACAGGCUUGGAGAUGGAGACCUCCCAUCCAGAUGUUGGAGGUCCCAAAAAUGGAUGCCGGACAGUUGUGGACAGUGAUACAGAUGUGGAGAUGGAGAGCUCAAACGCAGCUGUUGAAGGGCCCAGAAACAGACACCAGAUGCUCGUGGUGGACAGUGAUACAGAUGUGGAAGAGAAUGGAGCCAGUCCAGAUGUUGGGUGCCCCCAAACCCAUCAAAAGACCCAAAAUAUGUCUAAAAACUGGAAUAGCGAGAUGGGGACCCACAGUGCAGAUGUUGAAGGUUCACAAAAUGGGCAUCAGAUGCUCCUGGUGGACAGUGACACAGAUGUGGAGGAGAAUGAAGACAAUCCAGAUGUUGGACACCCUAAACCCCAUCAAACGACCCAAAACAUUAUUGAGGUGGAGACGCAACGUGUAGAUGUUGAAGACUCACAAAAGGGCCACCAGAUGCUUGUGGUGGACAGUGAUACAGAUGUGGAGGAGGACACUGCCAGUCCAGAUGUUGGGUGUUCAGAAAGCCCCAGAAGAGCCCCCAGAGGCCCAGAUGUGAAGACAGAGACCACAGUUCGCAAUGUUGAAGGACGCUGGAGUCUCCUCGUGGAGAGUGAUACAGAUGUGGAAGAGGACAUUUCCAAUCCAGAUGUUGGGAGUAAAAAAACCCGUGGAGCAACCCAAAAUGUACCCAGAAACCCAGACGUGGAGACGGAGAGGCCAGAUCCACCCCAAAACAAACAAUGGACCCUUGUGGUGGACAGCGAUACAGACGUGGAGGAGAAUGAGGGGAAUCCAGAUGUUGGGCGUAAAAAAACCCAUAGAAUUGCCCCCCCCAAAUGCAGAGAUCCAGAUGUGGAGACGCAGAACCCAAAAUCAGAUGUUGAAAAUGCCCCAAAUGAGCGUCAGGACCUGGAAGUGGACAGUGACACAGAUGUGGAGGAAGAAGACCUGAAUCAACGUGUUCUUCGCCCAAAAAGCCACAAAACACCCCAAAACACCCGGAAGGACCCAACUGUGGUGAUGGAGACUCCGAAUCCAGAUGUUGGUGGCCUCAGCUGUGGCUCAGUAGCCUCCAAUGGUGACAGCGAUACAGAUGUGGAGGAGAAUGAAGGGAAUCCAGAUGUUGGGCGUAAAAAAAUCCGUAGAAUUGCCAAAAAACCACGCAAAGAUCGAGCUGUGGAGACGCAGAACCCAAAUCCAGAUGUUGGAAAUCCCCCAAGUGAGCGUCAGAACCUGGAAGUGGACAGUGACACGGAUGUGGAGGAAGAAGACCUUUUUGUUCUUCACCCAAAAAGCCACAAAACACCCCAAAACACCCGGAAAGACCCAACUGUGGUGAUGGAGACACCGAAUCCAGAUGUUGGUGGCCUCAGCCGUGGCUCGGUGGCCUCCAAUGGUGACAGCGAUACAGAUGUGGAGGAGAAUGAAGGGAAUCCAGAUGUUGGGCGUAAAAAAAUCCAUAGAAUUGCCAAAAAACCACGCAAAGAUCGAGCUGUAGAGACACAGAACCCAAAUCCAGAUGUUGGAAAUCCCCCAAGUGAGCGUCAGAACCUGGAAGUGGACAGUGACACAGAUGUGGAGGAAGAAGACCUGAAUCAACGUGUUCUUCGCCCAAAAAGCCACAAAACACCCCAAAACACCCGGAAGGACCCAACUGUGGUGAUGGAGACUCCGAAUCCAGAUGUUGGUGGCCUCAGCCAUGGCUCGGUGGCCUCCAAUGGUGACAGCGAUACAGGUGUGGAGGACCUCAAUGCCCUUCCCAACGUUGGACCUCCAAACCCAUGUGGGACAGGCCAUGAGGGCAUGGAUACAGUUGCUCAGGUGGCCACUGCUCCAGAUGUUGAUCCCAAGGGGCCGAUGCGGACCAAGGAUGAUCCAGAUGUGAAGGUGACGUUCCCAGCUCCAGAUGUUGGAGCUCCCAAAGCCCAGUGCCUGGUCCUGGGUGUGGACAGCGAUAGAGAUGUUGAGGACAAUGUUGUCCUUCCAGAUGUUGGGACAGUGCAAAGAUGUCAAAGGGCAUCUGGUGAGCCAGAUGUGGCGAUGACACCCCCAAAUCCAGAUGUUCCCUCUCCCACAAGCCCCCGGAGCAGCAGCGACACCGACGUGGAGGAGGUGGCCCCCACUCCAGAUGUUCGGAGCCUGCGGAGCCACCUCCGCUUCCAAAAUCAUCCCCAUCCAGAUGUUGAAACAGGCAGUGACGCUGCCGUGGAGAAGAUGGACCCAAAACACUGGAAAUUGUCCCGAAAAAGGCAGGGCUUUCUCUUAAAAACUGAGGGUGACACGAGUGUGGAAGGAAUGGUCCCAAACCGCUGCGAUUUAGCCCCAAAUCCAGAUGUGGAGGCCCCGAAUCCAGAUGUUGGGUGCCAGCAAUGCAGCGGGGAGCCCUCAGCGAGGGGCAGGGAUCCAGCUGUGCCGCCAGAUGUUUCCACCCCCAAAUCCCCACACGUGGACCCAAAUUUGGCCUCCGGGAGUGACAGGGACACCGAGGAAGAUCUCGACCUCUUCCUGGAGCCCACCCAGAGCUUCUUGACGCCGGCGGCCAAGGGCACAGCCCCAGGCUGGGACCCUGAGGAGCCCACCCAGCGCUUCUUCCUCCCCAGGGAGGAUGAGGAGGAGAAGAAGGAGGAAGAGCAGCCCCCUGUGGAGCCCAUUGGGUCCCCCCCCGACGCUUGGGUCCCCCCCAGACCCCUGGGUCCCCAGCGUGGCUCUCCCACAGAGGCAGCUCCAGGCUGGGACCCCGAGGAGCCCACCCAGCGCUUCCUCCUCCCCAGGGAGGAUGAGGAGGAUGAGGAGGAGAAGAAGGAGGAAGAGCAGCCCCCUGUGGAGCCCAUUGGGUCCCCCCCCGACGCUUGGGUCCCCCCCAGACCCCUGGGUCCCCAACGUGGCUCUUCCGCAGGCACAUCCCCAGGCUGGGACCCCGAGGAGCCCACCCAGUGCUUCUUCCUCCCCAGGGAGGAUGAGGAGGAAGAGGAGGAGAAGAGGAAGAAGCCGCUCUCCAAAAAUGGGGUGAAAACGGGCAAAAAGACGAGUGAGAGUGAGAAAAAACAGCCUGUGAAAAAUGGGGCGAAAAGGGUAAAAAUAGAGAGUGACGAAGAGGAAGAGGAGGAGGAAGAAGAGGAGGAAGAAGAGGAGAAGAGGAAGAAACCAUCAUCCAAAAAUGGGGUGAAAACGAGCAAAAAGAUGAGUGAGAGCGAGAAAAAACAGCCUGUGAGAAAUGGGGCGAAAAGGGUAAAAAUAGAGAGUGACGAAGAGGAAGAGGAAAACGAGGAGGAAGAAGAUGAUGAUGAGGAAGAGGAGGAGGAAGAGGAGAAGAGGAAGAAGCCACCCUCCAAAAAUGAGGAGAAAAGGGGCAAAAAGAGGAGUGAGAAAAACCAGGCUGUGAGAAAUGGGGCGAAAAGGGUAAAAAUAGAGAGUGACGAAGAGGAAGAGGAAAACGAGGAGGAAGAAGAUGAUGAUGAGGAAGAGGAGGAGGAAGAGGAGAAGAGGAAGAAGCCACCCUCCAAAAAUGGGGUGAAAACGGGCAAAAAGAGGAGUGAGAAAAACCAGGCUGUGAGAAAUGGGGCGAAAAGGGUAAACCACGGGCACGGGUAGGUGUGGCCUGAGGGUGGGCGGAGCCUAAGGGUGAUGGGCGUGUCUGUGCUGGGUGGGUGGGGCCAAACACUGGGUGU
rnacentral:lncRNA from 1 species